CCUACGGGGUGCAGCAGUGAGGAAUAUUGGUCAAUGGGCGGGAGCCUGAACCAGCCAAGUCGCGUGAGGGACGACGGUCCUAUGGAUUGUAAACCUCUUUUGUCGGGGAACAACGGCGCCCACGGGUGGGCGGCUGAGUGUACCCGAAGAAACAGCAUCGGCUAACUCCGUGCCAGCAGCCGCGGUAAUACGGGGGAUGCGAGUGUUAUCCGGAUUUAUUGGGGUUAAAGGUUGGGUAGGCGGACAGUAAAGUCAGCGGUAAAAAUGCGGUGCUUAAAGCCGUACAGCCGUUGAAACUGGCAGUCUUGAGUGAGCGAGAGGUAGGCGGAAUGCGUGGUGUAGCGGUGAAAUGCAUAGAUAUCACGCAGAACUCCGAUUGCGAAGGCAGCAUACCGGCGCCCUACUGACGCUGAGGCACGAAAGCGUGGGUAUCGAACAGGAUUAGAUACCCUUGUAGUC
rnacentral:rRNA from 1 species